rnacentral:rRNA from 1 species
AAAAGAAAGCAACUGCGAUUACCCUAGUAACGGCGAGUGAAGCGGUAACAGCCCAGAUUUGAAAUCUGGCCCCCAGGGCCCGAGUUGUAAUCUGCAGAUGGAAGUCCGGUGAGCCUACCGCCCAGUCUCCCUGGAAUGGGGCGCCGUAGAGGGUGACAGCCCCGUAUGGCGGUCUGGCGAGCCGGUGUGACCUCCAUUCAAAGAGUCGCAUAGUUUGGGAAUGCUGUGCAAAGUGGGAGGUAUGCUCCUCCUAAGGCUAAAUACAGGCUUGAGACCGAUAGCGCACAAGUAGAGUGAUCGAAAGAUGAAAAGCACUUUGAAAAGAGGGUUAAACAGUACGUGAACCCGCUAAAAGGGAAGCGCCCGCAACCAGACUCGCCGCCUGGGGAUCGUCCUGCCAUUCGCAGGUUCACUCUCCUGGCGGCGGGCCAGCAUCAGUCGGGCCCGCCGUGCAAAGGUUCAGGGAACGUGGCCCCCUUCGGGGGGUGUUAUAGCCCUGUACGUAAUGCGGUGGGCUCGUCUGAGGACCGCGCUUCGGCAAGGAUGCUGGCGUAAUGGUUGUCGGCGGCCCGUCUUGAAACACGGACCAAGGAGUCGUCCUCGCGCGCGAGUGUUCGGGUGUAAAACCCCUACGCGCAGUGAAAGCGAACGCUGGUGGGAGCUUCGGCGCACCACCGACCGAUCCUGAUGUUCUCGGACGGAUUUGAGUAAGAGCGUGCGGGGCCGGACCCGAAAGAGGGUGAGCUAUACUUGACUAGGGCGAAGCCAAGGGAAACCUUGGUGGAGGCUCGCAGCGGUUCUGACGUGCAAAUCGAUCGUCAAAGUUGAGUAUGGGGGCGAAAGACUAAUCGAA